rnacentral:rRNA from 1 species
GACGAACGCUGGCGGCGUGCUUAACACAUGCAAGUCGAACGGAAAGGCCCUGCUUUUGUGGGGUGCUCGAGUGGCGAACGGGUGAGUAACACGUGAGUAACCUGCCCUUGACUUUGGGAUAACUUCAGGAAACUGGGGCUAAUACCGGAUAUGAGCUCCCGCUGCAUGGUGGGGGUUGGAAAGUUUCGGCGGUUGGGGAUGGACUCGCGGCUUAUCAGCUUGUUGGUGGGGUAGUGGCUUACCAAGUCUUUGACGGGUAGCCGGCCUGAGGGGGUGACCGGCCACCUUGGCACUGGGAUACGGCCCAGACUCCUACGGGAGGCAGGGGUGGGGAAUAUAGCACAGUGGUAGGAAGCCUGAUGCAGCAACGCCGCGUGCGGGAUGACGACCUUCGGGUUGUAAACCGCUUUCGCCUGUGACGAAGCGUGAGUGACGGUAAUGGGUGAAGAAGCACCGGCUAACUACGUG